CAUGUGCGACUUAUACUCCGGUGCGACUUAUAUAUGUUUUUUUCCUUCUUUAUUAUGCAUUUUUGGCAGGUGCGACUUAUACUCCGGUGCGACUUAUAUAUGUUUUUUCCCUUCUUUAUUAUGCAUUUUUGGCAGGUGCGACUUAUACGCCGGUGCGACUUAUAUAUGUUUUUUUCCUUCUUUAUUAUGCAUUUUUGGCAGGUGCGACUUAUACUCCGGUGCGACUUAUAUAUGUUUUUUUCCUUCUUUAUUAUGCAUUUUCGGCAGGUGCGACUUAUACUCCGGUGCGACUUAUAUAUGUUUUUUCCCUUCUUUAUUAU